rfam:Nadsonia fulvescens var. elongata DSM 6958 unplaced genomic scaffold NADFTscaffold_1, whole genome shotgun sequence.
GCUCCUUUAGCUCAGUUGGUAGAGCGUCAGUCUCAUAUUAGAUUUUCUUCAGGUAUAUCUGAAGGUCGAGAGUUCGAACCUCCCAGGGAGCA